rnacentral:rRNA from 1 species
AAUCCAUAGGUUAAUGAGGCGAACCGGGGGAACUGAAACAUCUAAGUACCCCGAGGAAAAGAAAUCAACCGAGAUUCCCCCAGUAGCGGCGAGCGAACGGGGAGGAGCCCAGAGCCUGAAUCAGCAUGUGUGUUAGUGGAAGCGUCUGGAAAGGCGCGCGAUACAGGGUGACAGCCCCGUACACAAAAGCGCAUGUGCUGUGAGCUCGAUGAGUAGGGCGGGACACGUGGUAUCCUGUCUGAAUAUGGGGGGACCAUCCUCCAAGGCUAAAUACUCCUGACUGACCGAUAGUGAACCAGUACCGUGAGGGAAAGGCGAAAAGAACCCCGGCGAGGGGAGUGAAAAAGAACCUGAAACCGUGUACGUACAAGCAGUGGGAGCACAGGUUUACCUGUGUGACUGCGUACCUUUUGUAUAAUGGGUCAGCGACUUAUAUUCUGUAGCAAGGUUAACCGUAUAGGGGAGCCGUAGGGAAACCGAGUCUUAACCGGGCGUUAAGUUGCAGGGUAUAGACCCGAAACCCGGUGAUCUAGCCAUGGGCAGGUUGAAGGU